rnacentral:rRNA from 1 species
AGUGAACGCUGGCGGCAUGCCUUACACAUGCAAGUCGAACGGCAGCGCGGGAGCAAUCCUGGCGGCGAGUGGCGAACGGGUGAGUAAUAUAUCGGAACGUGCCCAGUAGUGGGGGAUAGCCCGGCGAAAGCCGGAUUAAUACCGCAUACGACCUGAGGGUGAAAGCGGGGGAUCGCAAGACCUCGCGCGAUUGGAGCGGCCGAUAUCAGAUUAGGUAGUUGGUGGGGUAAAGGCCUACCAAGCCGACGAUCUGUAGCUGGUCUGAGAGGACGACCAGCCACACUGGGACUGAGACACGGCCCAGACUCCUACGGGAGGCAGCAGUGAGGGAUAUUGCACAAUGGGCGCAAGCCUGAUGCAGCGACGCCGCGUGGAUGAAGAAGGCCUCGGUCGUAAAUACCUUUGUCGCAUGACGAGAACAAGGACGGUAGUGCGCGAAAAGUACUCGG